rnacentral:lncRNA from 1 species
UCGAUCGAUGUCGUGAAAGGUGUAUCGGUCGAUAUUCCUCUAGAAUCAUCGAUCGACACUUUCUAAUUGAUCGACAAACGAUAGUUGAGAUCAAUAGAUCUAGUCAAUAGACGAAUCUAGAAAGCGAGAGCCGAUCGGUUUGUCCUUAAGUGUGGAGCUCUUUAAUAUCUUGCAUACAAAAAUUAGUCUCUAUAUCAUUAUAAUCUUGAUUACCUGAAUAGAAACCCUAGAUCUAGCAACCAUCCAUCCAUCAAAC